AUUUUACCUAGGUCCUAACACUGGGAAUUGAACCCAGGUCCCCUGGAAGAGAAGGCUGUGCUCAUAACCAAGGAACCACCCCUCUCUCCAGGCCCUCGACAGCUGUCUCCGCUCACCUCCAUGGAGCCUUCGCUGAGACCUCAGUACUUGUCACUUCAAAGGCCCAGAGUGGGUUUUCAGUUGUGAAGAACAUACUAAUCCUACAACAGCCUCCUUCAAGCAGCAGAGCGCUUGUUGGUGGUGCUGGGAGAGAGGCCCGUGUUUUCCUCACUAGAGAAGGCAGUAAGGAAGCCAAGGACAUGAGAAGACAGUUGAGGACACAGUGGGAGAGAAGACACAAGAACCCCACACAGGGACAGAAGGUCACCUGGGAUAACCUCUUCUGGACCACAUUGAGUUGGAGCUCAGGGAUGCUGUGGCUGCACAAGCCUUGUAUCUAGGGAAGCAGGCACUGGAAGACUGAAGCUGCCUCCCCAUCCUAUGCUCUGUGGUCUGUGCGGCUCUCCUGCAUGGGCUCUCAGAGGUGCAUCUUCAAAUUUCCCCUUCACCGGAGUGAUCUUGUCCACUCACCACGGGUAGGGGCAACUUCUGGACUUCUAGGAUGGCUCAGUCUUUUGGGAGAGACUUGGAUCCACUGCUCAUGAAAGUUGAUAUUAAAAAAAUAAUAAAAAUUAUGGUUACCACCUAUCAUCCAGCA